rnacentral:tRNA from 1 species
UCAGGGGUGGCUUAGUUCAGUGGUUAGAGCAUCGGCCUUGUGACCAUAAGGUUCUGGGUUCAAAUCUCUUCUCAGGAA